AGCGAACGCUGGCGGCAGGCCUAACACAUGCAAGUCGAACGGCAGGCCAGUGGGAGCGUGGUCGGGUGGGUGGCGAGUGGCGGAGGGGCGAGGAGUACAUCGGAACCUACUUUUUCGUGGGGGAUAACGUAGGGAAACUUAAGGUAGUACCGCAUAUCACCUACGGGUGAAAGCAGGGGAUCUUCGCACCUUGCGCGAUUGAAUGAGCCGAUGUCGGACUAGCUAGUUGGCGGGGUAAAGGCCCACCAAGGCCACGAUCCGUAGCUGGUAUGAGAGGAUGGUCAGCCACACUGGAUCUGAGACAGGGUCCAGACUCCUGCGGGAGGCAGCAGUCGGGAAUAUUGGGCAAUGGGGGAGAGCCUAAUACAGCCCUACCGCGUGAGUGAAGAAGGCGUUCGGGUUGGUAAGCCCUUUUGUUGGGAGAGAAGAGAAGCAGGUUUGUACGCCGCGGUACUGACGGUACCGGAAGAAUAAGCACCGGCUAACUUCGUG
rnacentral:rRNA from 1 species